rnacentral:miRNA from 1 species
GAGAGUGAGGAUGAGAUUGAGAGAGAGGAUGGGAAGGGAGGAUGGGAAGGAGGAGAGUAACAAAAGUGAAAACAAUUUCAAAUAGAUUUCAGUUUUUAAUUUUGUUUUUCACUUUUGUUACUUCUCCCUCCCAUCCUCCCCUUUCAUCUACCCUCUCAAUCUCAUCUCCACUCUCA